UACAGAGGGGGCAAGCGUUGUUCGGAAUUACUGGGCGUAAAGGGCGCGUAGGCGGCCAACUAAGUCGGACGUGAAAUCCCCAGGCUCAACCUGGGAACUGCGUCCGAUACUGGAUGGCUUGAAUCCGGGAGAGGGAUGCAGAAUUCCAGGUGUAGCGGUGAAAUGCGUAGAUAUCUGGAGGAAUACCGGUGGCGAAGGCGGCAUCCUGGACCGGCAUUGACGCUGAGGAGCGAAAGCCAGGGGAGCAAACGGG
rnacentral:rRNA from 1 species